UACGUAGGGCGCAAGCGUUGUCCGGAAUUAUUGGGCGUAAAGAGCUCGUAGGCGGUUUGUCGCGUCGACUGUGAAAACCUGGGGCUUAACUCUGGGCCUGCAGUCGAUACGGGCAGACUUGAGUUCGGUAGGGGAGACUGGAAUUCCUGGUGUAGCGGUGAAAUGCGCAGAUAUCAGGAGGAACACCGGUGGCGAAGGCGGGUCUCUGGGCCGAUACUGACGCUGAGGCGCGAAAGCCAGGGGAGCAAACGGG
rnacentral:rRNA from 1 species